UUUUUUUCAUAAAAAUCAUAUUUAUAGACAUUAAUUUAUGUCUAAUUCUGUACCCAAAAGCGGAAGUAAUUGGAGUUUGAUCAUAAUUAGGAGUUCUUGAAAAUUGAACUUUGUGUCCUUAGUCUUCCAUUGUACGAUUGCAUAGGUACGGGGCUGCCAUCGCAUGAUAUCAUCCUUAAUUUGCUCUGCAAGUCCUUCAACUUUCAAAUUUGAUAUCUUGAUCUUUGAAUUCCAGAUUUCUUCCAAUUUUAACCAUUUUUUUGAUAGAUUCUCGUUCGUUUCGUUUGUUCACAAUCAUAUCAAAAUUUUCCCUAAAAUAAUAGAUGAACAAGCAUAAUU
rnacentral:lncRNA from 1 species